rnacentral:rRNA from 1 species
UGGGGAAUAUUGGACAAUGGGCGCAAGCCUGAUCCAGCCAUGCCGCGUGAGUGAUGAAGGCCCUAGGGUUGUAAAGCUCUUUUGUGCGGGAAGAUAAUGACUGUACCGCAAGAAUAAGCCCCGGCUAACUUCGUGCCAGCAGCCGCGGUAAUACGAAGGGGGCUAGCGUUGCUCGGAAUCACUGGGUGUAAAGGGUGCGUAGGCGGGUCUUUAAGUCAGGGGUGAAAUCCUGGAGCUCAACUCCAGAACUGCCUUUGAUACUGAGGAUCUUGAGUUCGGGAGAGGGGAGUGGAACUGCGAGUGUAGAGGUGAAAUUCGUAGAUAUUCGCAAGAACACCAGUGGCGAAGGCGGCUCACUGGCCCGACACUGACGCUGAGGCACGAAAGCGUGGGGAGCAAACA